AUAUUGCACAAUGGGCGCAAGCCUGAUGCAGCCAUGCCGCGUGUAUGAAGAAGGCCUUCGGGUUGUAAAGUACUUUCAGCAGUGAGGAAGGGGUGUGUGUUAAUAGCGCACAUCUUUGACGUUAGCUGCAGAAGAAGCACCGGCUAACUCCGUGCCAGCAGCCGCGGUAAUACGGAGGGUGCGAGCGUUAAUCGGAAUUACUGGGCGUAAAGCGCAUGCAGGUGGUUUGUUAAGUCAGAUGUGAAAGCCCGGGGCUCAACCUCGGAAUAGCAUUUGAAACUGGCAGACUAGAGUACUGUAGAGGGGGGUAGAAUUUCAGGUGUAGCGGUGAAAUGCGUAGAGAUCUGAAGGAAUACCGGUGGCGAAGGCGGCCCCCUGGACAGAUACUGACACUCAGAUGCGAAAGCGUGGGGAGCAAACAGG
rnacentral:rRNA from 1 species